rnacentral:rRNA from 1 species
UACGUAGGGAGCGAGCGUUGUCCGGAUUCAUUGGGCGUAAAGAGCUCGUAGGCGGUUCAGUAAGUCGGGUGUGAAAUCUCCGUGCUCAACACGGAGCGGCCACCUGAUACUGCUGUGACUCGAGUCCGGUAGGGGAGUGUGGAAUUCCCGGUGUAGCGGUGAAAUGCGCAGAUAUCAGGAAGAACACCCGUGGCGAAGGCGGCUCUCUGGAACGCAACUGACGCUGAGACGCGAAAGCGUGGGGAGCAAACAGG